CUGAGAUCUAGUCGUUUAAAAGUGUGUGGCCCCUCCCCCCAACUUGGUCCUGCUCUUGCCAUGUAAGAUGCCUGUUCCCACUUUGGCUUCCGCCACGUCUAAAAGCUCCCUGAAACCUCGAAGCAGAUGCCACCAGCUUCCUGUGCAGCCUGCAGAACUCCCAUGCUCUUGUCUGCCCAGCUGUUGCUUCUGAGAUCACAGUCUUCUUAUUCUUAAGUGACGCUGCGGUAAACCUCCAAGUUGCCAAACUUAAUCCACCUCCAGAAGCUCUUGCAGCCAAGUUGGAAGUGAAGCACUGCACCGAUCAGAUAUCUUUUAAGAAACGACUCUCAUUGAAAAAGUCCUGGUGGAAAUAGUGAAAAAAUGUGGUGUGUGACAUGUAAAAAUGCUCAACCUGGUUUCCAAAGUCUUUCAACGACACCCUGAUCUUCACUAAAAAUUGUAAAGGUUUCAACACGUUGCUUUAAUAAAUCACUUGCCC
rnacentral:lncRNA from 1 species